GUUGUCAUCUGAAUCCAGUGGAUGACUGCUUCAUCACCAGUCGGAAAACUGCACGGUAAGAUGCAGCUCUCAUUGAAAACACAGGAGACCUGAAUAUCAUCUGGAACACAUCAGCUUCCUUUCUCUGGUGAAAGUAACCAUGACGACGCUGACUAACGUCUGGUAUCUCUGGGCUGUGAACUCUUCACUCACCUCCUCUUGCAGGACUCAGAAAGGAUCGUUUCUCGGCUUCAGGUUUCUUCUGUUGGAUUUUCCCAUCCAUAGUCCAGCACCACAUGUGCUCAUGCUGUGAGUCCACACCUGUAAUGACACCUGUGAGAAGAGUCCUUACACAAGCAGAUUGAUAACGCUAGAAGAAAAGGCAU